UGCCUACGGGGGGCAGCAGUGGGGAAUAUUGGACAAUGGGGGAAACCCUGAUCCAGCGACGCCGCGUGGGUGAAGAAGGCCUGCGGGUUGUAAAGCCCUUUCGGUAGGGACGAAAGCUCUUGCCCUAACACGGCAGGAGGUUGACUUAACCUACAAAAGAAGCACCGGCUAACUCUGUGCCAGCAGCCGCGGUAAUACAGAGGGUGCGAGCGUUAAUCGGAAUUACUGGGCGUAAAGCGCACGUAGUCGGCUUGGUAUGUCGGGUGUGAAAUCCCCGGGCUCAACCUGGGAACUGCAUCCGAAACUGCCUUGCUAGAGUAUGGGAGAGGGAAGCGGAAUUUCCGGUGUAGCAGUGAAAUGCGUAGAUAUCGGAAGGAACAUCAGUGGCGAAGGCGGCUUCCUGGACCAAUACUGACGAUCAGGUGCGAAAGCGUGGGGAGCAAACAGGAUUAGAUACCCCUGUAGUC
rnacentral:rRNA from 1 species